UACGUAGGGGGCAAGCGUUGUCCGGAAUUAUUGGGCGUAAAGCGCGCGCAGGCGGUUUAUUAAGUCUUCUGUUUAAUGCAUGGGCUCAACCCGUGUACGCAGGGGAAACUGGUAGUACUUGAGUGCAGGAGAGGAAAGUGGAAUUCCACGUGUAGCGGUGAAAUGCGUAGAGAUGUGGAGGAACACCAGUGGCGAAGGCGACUUUCUGGCCUGUAACUGACGCUGAGGCGCGAAAGCGUGGGGAGCAAACAGG
rnacentral:rRNA from 1 species